rnacentral:tRNA from 1 species
GCGGACAUAGCUCAAUUGGUAGAGCGUUGGCUUCCCAAGCCAAAGGUCGCGGGUUCGAUCCCCGUUGUCCGCUCCA